rnacentral:rRNA from 1 species
AACGAACGCUGGCGGCGUGGAUAAGACAUGCAAGUCGAACGGAGAUCUUGAAUAGCUUGCUAAUUAAGAUCUUAGUGGCGGACGGGUUAGUAACACGUGAGAACCUACCCUUUAGACAGGAAUAGCCCAUGGAAACGUGGAUUAAUGCCUGAUAGUCUCUACGGAGUAAAUGGUGCCUUCGGGUAUCGCUAGAGGAUGGGCUCGCGGCCUAUCAGCUUGUUGGUGAGGUAAAGGCUCACCAAGGCGACGACGGGUAGCUGGUCUGAGAGGACGAUCAGCAACACUGGAACUGAGACACGGUCCAGACACCUACGGGUGGCAGCAGUCGAGAAUCAUUCACAAUGGAGGCAACUCUGAUGGUGCAACGCCGCGUGGAGGAUGACGGUCCUAGGAUUGUAAACUCCUGUCAUUGGGGAGGAAGACUUAAGCGUUAAGAGCGUUUAAGUUUGAUAGUACCCAAAGAGGAAGGGACGGCUAACUUCGUGCCAGCAA